GCACGCGUCUAAAUAAACGCGUGCUUUUUUGAGACGUGUCUAUCAAACCACACGAAAUUAACGCCUGGUUUGGCUCAAUCAGCGUCUGGUUUUCCCAAAUUAAAGUCUGCUUGCUUGAAUCUCCGAUGGGAAAUUACGGCAACAAUUGUAACAUCUAAUACAUCAUCUAUGAUGUCCCAAAGGCCCAACUCCUUCUCAGGUCACCUUCUGGCAGCAACCAUGCAGCUGGAUUUCACUGUGCAACCAGGCCUACCCAAGCUGCUGCUGCUGGGCCCAGGGUUGAUUGUAAUGGCACACUGGGACUUGCAGAUGACCUGAAAUACAUAUUUUUCUUUCUGCUGUGUAAGAUGUAGGCCUACUGCUUUUAACUUGAGUUGAAUGCUAUUAAACACUGCCAUGGUCAGCAAACAC